GGCAGCAGUCAGAAAUGUCUGCUGGAGAAGACACUGCAAAGUGUCAGUGAGGGCGUUUGAGAAUUAAUUUUACCCUAGAGUAGCUGCGCAGGUCUGUUUAGCACUCACCUCUACAGUUUUGAACAUUCGAUAACACCAGAAUCAGUCUGAUGCCUUGAACACUUUACAUGAAGGGUUUUUCAAAAUCUAGCCACAAACAGAUAUGACCAGAUUUCAAAAAAUUUUGAGAAACUAGGAGGAAUCUAUUUUGACAAAGCCAAGCCACACAUAGGAUAGAGGCAGACAUGCGUGCCCUGGAAAGAAGAAAGUAGAAGGAUCAACUAAAAGAGCUCUCCCACUAAAUGGCUGUGGGCUCCUCUAAGAAACUGAAACAUGGAAGAAGGAAGGACCAGCCAGCCAGAACAGCAGUGGGUAUCAAGGAAUGAUAUAAAAGCAAGCUCAAGACAGUCAAGAUUCAAGGAGCUAUAUACCUUGCUUCCUUUCCAGAGCUGAAAUUUGAGUCAAGAGUCCAUUUCUUCCAUCUGGCCAGAUGAUCUCCAGGAUACUCUCAUGUAUGUCAAUAAUAACUUUUCUUUUAUAAUUUUGUCUUUCUCAAUAUUUAACUCACAGUUCAAUGCAUU
rnacentral:lncRNA from 10 species